rnacentral:lncRNA from 1 species
UUCAGGGGUUUCUGCUUUUGCAUCUUCCUCAUUUUCUCUUGCUGCCACCAUGUAAGAAGUACCUUUUGCCUCUCUCCAUGAUUCUGCGGCCUCCCCAGUCAUGUGGAACUAUGGCAUUAGAAGUGGAACCCAAAGUAGAGCCUCUUGCAACCCCCAGAAGCACCAAGAGACCAAGAAAAAUACCUACCAGGCCCAUUGUGUUCAUUGCUCUCUUGCAGAAACUGGUGAUUGUGGAGAUCAAGAUUCCAAAAAAAUCCAAAGAACGGGGUUUACAGAAGAAGACUGAGUAUUGUCUGACCUCAAGCUUACGGGAUGCCAGAACAGAACAAGAUUACUGAGAAUGCAACUGAAUUUUAGAGACUACCAGUCACCAAGUAAGUUGCUCAGGCACUACUGAGAUUAUCCCGAUAACAUU